rnacentral:rRNA from 1 species
AUUGAACGCUGGCGGCAUGCCUUACACAUGCAAGUCGAACGGCAGCACGGGAGCAAUCCUGGUGGCGAGUGGCGAACGGGUGAGUAAUAUAUCGGAACGUGCCCAGUCGUGGGGGAUAACGUAGCGAAAGCUACGCUAAUACCGCAUACGAUCUAUGGAUGAAGGCGGGGGAUCGCAAGACCUCGCGCGAUUGGAGCGGCCGAUAUCAGAUUAGGUAGUUGGUGAGGUAAAGGCUCACCAAGCCGACGAUCUGUAGCUGGUCUGAGAGGACGACCAGCCACACUGGGACUGAGACACGGCCCAGACUCCUACGGGAGGCAGCAGUGGGGGAAUUUUUGGGACAAUGGGCGCAAGCCUGAUCCAGCAAUGCCGCGUGCAGGAUGAAGGCCUCGG